UUUUAAGGUCAAGCUACAAAGGGCGCAUGGUGAAUGCCUUGGCACUAGGAGCCGAAGAAGGACGCGAUAAGCUGCGAUAAGCCUUGGGUAGCCGCAAAUAGGCUGAGAUCCAGGGAUUUCCGAAUGAGGAAACUCACAUGGGUAACCCCAUGUAUCAUGCACUGAAUACAUAGGUGUAUGAGGGUAAACCCGGGGAACUGAAACAUCUAAGUACCCGGAGGAAGAGAAAGAAAAAUCGAUUUCCUAAGUAGCGGCGAGCGAACGGGAAAGAGCCCAAACCAGAAACUUGUUUCUGGGGUUGUGGAUAGAUCAUAAAAGAAGAGGUAUCUUAAUCGAAGAGGGCUGGAACGCCCUACCAUAGAAGGUAAUAGUCCUGUAGGUAAAAAGAGAAAACUUUAAGAUCUAAUCCAGAGUACCACGAGACACGUGAAACCUUGUGGGAAGCAGGGAGGACCACCUCCCAAGGCUAAAUACUACCUAGUGACCGAUAGUGAAGCAGUACCGUGAGGGAAAGGUGAAAAGAACCCCGGAAGGGGAGUGAAAUAGAACCUGAAACCGUGUGCCUACAACCGAUCGGAGCACGUUAAAGUGUGACGAUGUGCUUUUUGUAGAACGAGCCAGCGAGUUACGCUAUGUAGCAAGGUUAAGUACUUAAGGUAUGGAGCCGAAGGGAAACCGAGUCUGAAAAGGGCGAAAAGUUGCAUGGUGUAGACCCGAAACCGGGUGACCUAUCCAUGGCCAGGUUGAAGCGAGAGUA
rnacentral:rRNA from 1 species